UACAGAGGGCCCAAGCGUUACUGAGAAUCACUGGGCUUAAAGGGUGCGUAGGUGGCGCGUUAAGUCCGUUGUGAAAUCCCUUGGCUCAACCAAGGAAAUGCUUCGGAUACUGGCGUGCUUGAGGCUAGUAAGGGUCACUGGAACUGACGGUGGAGCGGUGAAAUGCGUAGAUAUCAGGAGGAACACCUGUGGUGUAGACGGCUUUCUGGACCAUAGCUGACGCUGAGACACGAAAGCGUGGGUAGCAAACAGG
rnacentral:rRNA from 1 species